rnacentral:misc_RNA from 1 species
AAAGUCGUAACAAGGUUUCCGUAGGUGAACCUGCGGAAGGAUCAUUACCAAAUAAAUGUCCUGCACACUGUGCACCUUCCUGUAGUAGACCAUUCUUUGGUCUCCUGCGUCUUCCUUUUUCACCACGCAAAACCUGUCAUCGUACGGUGCUGAACAUUUUAACAUAUAAUACAACUUUCAACAACGGAUCUCUUGGCUCUC